UGAAGAUAUAUUUAUAAUUUUUGUACUUAUUGUUGUACACAUAAGUUACAUGUUUAUUAUUAAUUACGGAGGACAGAAAGUAACAGAUCAUGGAAUGAAAGUGUUUAAAGCAACUUAUAAUGGACUGUAGUAUGCAGUACCAUUGCCCACGCAGAAAAUGUUAUUAUUUAUAAUGCAAGAAGGAAUAAUCAAUGUCAGUAUAAUAUGCGGUAACUUAUUUCUUGCUUCCUUAGAAGGUUUUGCUUCGCUUACGAAUGCGGCAGUAUCUUACUUUAUGGUGAUAUACUCUACACGAUAAUACGAUAAAAUAUAGCAGAAAAAAAAAUAAUUAUAAUUAUCGG